rnacentral:rRNA from 10 species
AUGGCGCAGCUAUAAUGCAAGUCGAGCGAAUGGAUUAAGAGCUUGCUCUUAUGAAUUAGCGGCGGACGGGUGAGUAACACGUGGGUAACCUGCCCAUAAAACUGGGAUAACUCCGGGAAACCGGGGCUAAUACCGGAUAACAUUUUGAACCGCAUGGUUCGAAAUUGAAAGGCGGCUUCGGCUGUCACUUAUGGAUGGACCCGCGUCGCAUUAGCUAGUUGGUGAGGUAACGGCUCACCAAGGCAACGAUGCGUAGCCGACCUGAGAGGGUGAUCGGCCACACUGGGACUGAGACACGGCCCAGACUCCUACGGGAGGCAGCAGUAGGGAAUCUUCCGCAAUGGACGAAAGUCUGACGGAGCAACGCCGCGUGAGUGAUGAAGGCUUUCGGGUCGUAAAACUCUGUUGUUAGGGAAGAACAAGUGCUAGUUGAAUAAGCUGGCACCUUGACGGUACCUAACCAGAAAGCCACGGCUAACUACGUGCCAGCAGCCGCGGUAAUACGUAGGUGGCAAGCGUUAUCCGGAAUUAUUGGGCGUAAAGCGCGCGCAGGUGGUUUCUUAAGUCUGAUGUGAAAGCCCACGGCUCAACCGUGGAGGGUCAUUGGAAACUGGGAGACUUGAGUGCAGAAGAGGAAAGUGGAAUUCCAUGUGUAUCGGUGAAAUGCGUAGAGAUAUGGAAGAACACGAAUGGCGAACGCGACUUGCUGGUCUGUAUUUGACGCUGCGGUGUCAUUUCAUGGGGAGAAAACCCCAUUAGAUACGGGGGUAGUCC